GCCGGUUCUAGAAUGUUCUCUUGUUCUUUACAAACCGGUAUGAACAGUCGCUUUACGUCAGAGGUAGUGAGAGAGCGAGAGAGAGAGAGAGGAAGGUGGGGAGGACCAACGAGAAGCAGGGUCCACGCCACGCACAUUCUCAUCCGAGGACGUGGAUGAGGUGCUGCGUGGAUGCUAGCUUAAGCAAUAGCGCCUUCUUCAGUACAAAGUCAAGUUAUUGGAACGUUCAGGAAGCCUUGACUAAUUCUGGACCCUUUCUUAGAACUACAACAACUUGAAAAGAAAAUGAUAUGGAUUUACCUUUCUGCGUGUAUUAGUGAGACACACCACAUCCUCAAUCAGCGCACAAGCAUGCGAACCUGCAACUCCAACAGCAAAACAAGCGGACAGUCGUCCACACAGCAGCUUCGUCAUACUGUGCAGAGAGAUGAGGCAGAAGAUGAAAAAGAAGAAGAGGAGGAUCAGGAGAGUGGGUGGAAGGAUAGAUGGAUGGAAGGAUUUGCAGGAAGCGGCUGAACCCAGAGCAGGUGAACACAGCUGUGGAUCUCCGUGACGAGCCUGGCUCGCUGCUUUCCUCGCGCGGCCCCCCCGGCGCUUGCGUUCAGGGGUCCCGUCGAGCCGACAGGGGCCAGGCAGAGUGGGCAGGCGAGGGCCGGCCCGAUGCAGGUGAGGCGGGCAAGCCGAGGCGCCCGUCGCCGCCGGCUAGGAGCCUCCACGCGGUCGAAUCAAUACUAAGGCUAGCAGAGGUUGGCCAGAACUGCCUGCGGGCCCUUAAGAGCCUUGGGACCCUCCACCAGUACCCACCUCCAUCUUUAUUUUCCAGCUUCCUCCACCAGUCCCAGACCACGGCCCUUACCCUUGCACCCACCCCACACACGGAGUUUUUGCAGCUUGACAAACAUCUUGCCACUGAGAUGCUGGGCGCAAGGGCGGUAAAAGAAAAAGCAAAGACGUGGGAAAAAUCUGAGUUUCUUCUCGGUUCCAUAGGGAUUCCUGGAGUUGGGGGAGGGGAGGAUGAACAGGACGCUCCAUCCAAGCCCAAUAUACCUUCAUCUCAUGGGCUCGGAUGAAAGGACAACUUCUUCUCCAAUCUGAUAUAUUUUUUUAUUGCUUUAUAUUUCCUGAGCCGCACUAAGAGCAGCAGCCUUCAGAGGAUAUGGAAGUGCAGUAUUGAUCUAGAAGGUGGGACGGAGGAAAGAUGAGGGCUUUCACGGCUUCCUCUCUCUGUGGAAGCAGAAGUCAACUACUCCCUACUUAUGAAUGGCUGCUAAUGAGUAAUAAGACCUACACCUUUUUUUUUUUUUUUUUUAACCUGCAAGAAAAUGCGAGGAGAGGUUAAAGCAUCAGUCCUGAAGAGAGCUCAAACCUGAGACUACUUUUUGGCAUGCCACGGACAGCACAUGAAAGACUAUAAUGGGGUCCUCGCUGCAUGCACGUGGCGAGACAGCAAGGGAUGAUGGACCAUGUGGAGAUGAAGUGACAAUUCAUCGCCAAUGAUGAUGCAACGCUGCAAUCAAGAGCAGGAACAAAAUGCAAGAUAAAACUGCAGAAAAUGAUAUGAUUUUCAUUACUAUAAUAGGAUUAUGGUGGCAAGGUAAAUGAGUGUUAGCAUGUGUGCCUCACAGUUCUGAGAUUAAGGGUUCAAUCCAGGGCCUUCGUAUUUGGGGUUGGCAUUUUCUUCCUGUGCCUACGUGGGGUUUCUCCGGGUACUCCGCCUUCCUCCCAAAUCCCAAAAACAUGCAGGGUAGGCUGAUUGACCACAAGAAAAUUGUCCCUAGGUAUGAGUGUAUGUUCGCGAUUGCUUGUCUAUCUCGGGGUUCAGCAACCCAUGGCUCUUUAGUACUGCCCUAGUAGCUCCCUGAAGCAUUUCAAAAGUUAGUUCAAUUUUUCUUUAAUCACAGACAAUUGUUUUAGGUUGUUUUAUUUACCUGACAUGUUUCGCCAACUACUUUCGCCUUCAUCAGAGUGUCACUGGUGUUGGUGUGACGCAUCUUUAUCAUCUGAUGGAUGAAGACGUGACUCACCUGUAAAAUUUGACAGGCAAACCACGCCCUCUGCUGACCUUUUACUCUUCCAGGAUGCUGGUCCAGGUAGUAGAGAGCAUGUAAGUCCCCUCGUCCCUGUUGAUGGUCCUCGGGCCCUGCUUGCGGAUUUAAAUGGCCUCCCUGAUCCAGCGCUGAUGUUUGUUUUUUUCGGUGCGGAUGACUCAGGCCUUUGCCCAGUUCAUAAUGUGGUUUUACCUUUUGCAGUGGUCAGUAAUGGCUGACUUGUGGUGUUCCUGUUGUGCUUGUUCUUUUAUUGCUCUUGUUUGUUUUGUUGCACUUGUUCUUGUUGCCGUCUCCUUCUCACACUCCUUGUUGUGUUCUUUUUUGUUGUAAUAAAGCUCCUCCCUGUCUCCCCGAUGUAUGAUUUAUUGCAUGAUUUGCAUUAAAUUUCAUGCGCGGAGUUGCAGUUGUUUUCUGGGUGGAUUUUGUCCUUUGGAUUGACCAAUAGCUGGCAGAUUGUUGUUUAUUGUUUUUACUGGUGUGUUUAUGUUGUAUUUCCUCAUUGUUCUUUGGAUACGUUGCGUAACUCCUCUCACGUACGGCAACAUCAUCAUAUCUGUGUGUUCGUUUUGUUUGAUUUUAGUUCGCACCAACACCGGUGACACUCUGAUAAAGGCUGAAGUAGUCGCCGAAACAUGCCAGGUAAUUAACAAAACCUAAAACAAUUGUCAGUGAUAAAAGAAAAAAAAUCAACUAAUCUAUAAGUGUAGACAAAAUGAACUCAAUACGUUUUCAAAAAUGUUUGAAAAUGUAAAAAGAUGGGGGAGUGAAAUAUAUUUUUUGUUUUACUACGGUUUCUUUAGGAGGACAAACAUGACUCAAAUAUUGUUCUAAUUCACUAAUAUUAUAAUGAAGUUAAACUUGAGGCGGCAUUAUACAACAGAGUAGUCACGUGGUUUGUCAUUCUCUAUAGGAUGCACUGCAGGGAAAAUAAACAUUUACCCAUAGACUUCACUAUCAGUUGACGGGACACGGGGCUCGGGCCGAUCCAUUGGGAGCUUAUUUUCAAAGACUUAAAAUUCUAAUAUUUUCAAAACCAAAGCCGCUAGCGACCUAAAACCAAAACAGGCACCUCCCUUAGGCAUAUAUGAGUCCCAAUGAGCCGCGACGUAAAAAAAUUCAAAGUCAUUCCUUAAUGAAAUCCCGAUUAAUUUUUUAAAAUACAAGUAUAACUAAACUUAAAAUGGCUAUGAAAUUCACAAAUUUUACACGAGACGCACAAAAAUCAUCAAGUGCAUAGAUAAAUUGUUAUUGAUCCUGAAAAUAUAGGUGAUUAACAUAUACGUUUUUGCCCAAAAUAGCAACUUUUUUUUUUUUUUUUUUAAUUUAACAGCAAAUCUUACUUGAAAAUACUUGAGGAAUGCAUGCAGAAUCAUCUGAAUUUUACUCAACAAAAGCAUAAUUUGCAUUUUUCUAUAUACAAUCACAACUUAUUUACUGUAGGUUGAAUUCCGCUAUUAUGUAGAAAUACAUGUCGGCCGUCACAAAACAAAGAGCUUUUUAAGUUAAAAAUUCUUGUCAGCAAAUGUUGAAAUUGCCGAAUUUGUAUAGAUAUGAACGUAAAACAGUCAAGAUUCUUGGUUAUUAGCAAAAAAACGGCAGUUUUGGUUCAUUUUACGCAAAUAUUUCAAGCAAAAGUUACAGUAUUGUGUAACCCAACAUGGCGGCCGUCACGAAAGAGCUUUUUAAGUUGAAAAUUCUCGUAAAUAAAUGCUGAAAUCGCGUAAUUUAUAUCAUUAUGAACGUAAAACAGUCUAGAUUCUUGGUUAAAAGCAAAAAAAAAAAAACGGCGGUUAUCAUUCAUUUUAUGUAAAUAUUUUAAGCCAAAGUUAAACAAAUUUUAUCCAUUGAAUUUUUUCACAAGGUUUCAAAGUGCAUGCUUGGUACUAUUUAAUAUAAUAAUUACUGUAUUUUUCGGAAUACAAGUUGCACCUGAGUAUAAGUCGCACCAGCCAUAAAAUGCCCAACGAAGAGAAAAAAAAAAUACAUACAAGUCGCACCGGAGUAUAAGUCGCAUUUUUGGGGGAAAUUUACUUGGGGGAAAUUUAUUUGAUAAAAUCCAAUACAUAGAAGAGACAUGUCGUGUUGAAAGGCAAUAGAAUAUACUGUCCUCACCAGGACGCUACGGCUCGGUCCGGGCUAAACUCCCAAGUGACGAUGCUGGACGUCCGUAUAAUUUGCUGAAUCAAUUUCGUCCUCGAUACCAAACAGGUUUGCAUCGAUGUAAAUAAAUGAUACUUAGGUGCUUUUACAGCAAUGACAUGACACAAACGGUUAGCAUGCGUUCGCUAGCAUUAGCGCAUCGUUCAAGCAACCACAUAACUGGCUUUAAGUGUCUGAUCGCGGGUGGAAAACACACAACAACAACAACAGAAAAGAUUAUACACACAGGCGUUGCCUCUGUAGAGAUAUUUUACAAGCAUAAACAAUGAACGUAGGUUCGCAGCCGUGUUUCUCUCUCGCUAACUCGCCCACUCAGUCAGAGCUAUGUAGCUGUCGGUCUUCUUCUGGCCUGUGAGCGCUCUUCUUCACGUAAACAAGUGCAAGUGCGCCCCCAUGUGGGUAUUAAGGCGCCACAAACUAAAAGCAUGCAUUUCAAUAUAAAAAAGUCAAUAAUACAAUUGAGCACACAUUGCCAAAGGCAGAACGCGAACGUGGCCAUAGCUAUUAAGUUAUUCAGAUAACUAUAGCAUAAAGAACAUGCUAACAAGUUUACCAAAUCUUCAGUGUCACUCCAAAACACCAAAAUAACAUGUGAAAUGAAAUCAUAAUGUGUUAAUAAUUUCACAUAUAAGUCGCCACCCCAGUCAAACUAUGAAAAAAAACUGCGACUUAUCGUCCGAAAAAUAUGGUACCUUGAAUCCUCGACCAAAUCACUCUUGACACACUCCUGCCUGCUUGUAUGCAGUAAAACCUUUGUCCUAUUUCCACCUAAAUCCGACAUUAGAACGCAGCGUGUGUUUGAGUUUAUCACAGUGAAAGCCAACUCAACGUUCUGCCAGAGUCGGCCCCCUACGGGAAGGCGUGGCGAAGUGUCUGCGGGAGCUGUCUUGUCAACUGAUGGUGGAGUCUAUGAUUUAGCGUAUUUUUCGCAAUAAGAAGUGCAUCAGUGUAUAAGGCGCACAUUCAAUAAAUGGCUUAUUUUAAAACCGUUUUCAUGUAUAGGGCGCACUACAUUAGAAGGUGCAGUAGUAGUAGUAGUAGUAUUGGUUGACGUUGCGUUAUGCAUCCACAAGGUGGAGCAGAGCUACAUGGAAUGUCAUGCCAUGAUUAACCAAUACUGAUCCUUAUGUAAGGCACAUCGGAUUAUACGGCACACUGUCGGCUUUUGAGAAAAUUGAAGGCUUUCAGGUGUGCCUUAUAGUGCGGAAAAUAAUCAUGAAGGCUCAUGAUGUAUUUGUAGCUAACUUAGUCAUUUUGGUAGUAGGGUAAUAUAACUACUAUAGAUACAUAGAACAUGUGGUGCCUUCAUUAUAAGGCUUAUAUAAGGCUUUCUAUUUUUUGCUUUCUGUUUUUUUUUUUUUUUCUCCAAUAUGGCACUUUUAACAAUUUGGGUUGCCGACCCUUGGUCUAUUUUUCCACUGCGAUUCGCUGGCAACUAGUUUCGUGUGUACCUCGCCUCUGGCUUAUAGUUGGCUGGGAUUGACUCCAGCACCGCCACGACCCUGGAUAAGCAGUACAGAAGAUAUAUCAUCAAAUUUAUCAUCAAAUUCUGUUUUAUUCCAAAAACAGUCAGGAUGUAAUUUAAUUGGAAUUCAUUUGAUUGGACAAAACAUGUCAAAUGUGAGCAAAAAAUAUAUUGUCUAAUCAAAUUUGUAUUUAAGAAAUUGACACACAGUACAUGUUGAGUGUUUUUAUUGUAUCCAAUUGAUUUUAAGUCCAACAAAGAUGUUUUUUUCUGGAUAAAAAUGAAAAGGAAAAUACUUUUUCAUUCAUUUCAUACUUCUUUUCAUUAACUAAAAAAAAAAAACAAAGACAUUUGUUUUUUAAAUUGGAUCAAAUGUUGUAUUUUUGUGUAAACAGAAAAAAGAACAUUACUAUUAUGUUGGAUUAUUUUUAUAAUAAUAAACCUAUAAAUUUCAUGUAUUUCAUUACCCCACACUUUUCAAAACAUUUAAAUUAGAUACACACACUUUGGCACUAAUACAUUUUCAAUAUGAUUACUUCCUUGCCUAUUAGCUGAGUAAUAUUACAGCAUUAUACAUUACAGCAUUCCAUUAUAGUGAGACAUACAUGGUAUACUAUUAACACCUACUGAUACCCAAUAAAGUUGUAAUCAUAAAAUAAAUGUUUCUUUUUCAUUUUUUUUUUAUCUUCAUAUGUUUAAUCUUUCUCUCAAGCCUUUGCAUUGAUUUCCAUAAUUGCAAAACGCCUCCAAUAUUGCCCUC